UCCCAGACUCCUACGGGAGGCAGCAGUGGGGGAUAUUGCACAAUGGGGGGAACCCUGAUGCAGCGACGCCGCGUGGGUGAAGGAGUGCUUCGGCAUGUAAAGCCCUAUCGGCAGGGAAGAAGCAAGACGGUACCUGACUAAGAAGCCCCGGCUAACUACGUGCCAGCAGCCGCGGUAAUACGUAGGGGGCAAGCGUUAUCCGGAUUCACUGGGUGUAAAGGGAGCGUAGACGGCGACGCAAGUCUGGAGUGAAAGCCCGGGGCCCAACCCCGGGACUGCUCUGGAAACUGCGUCGCUGGAGUACGGGAGGGGCAGGCGGAAUUCCUGGUGUAGCGGUGAAAUGCGUAGAUAUCAGGAGGAACACCGGCGGCGAAGGCGGCUUGCUGGACCGUGACUGACGUUGAGGCUCGAGAGCGUGGGGAGCAAACAGGAUUAGAUACCCUAGUA
rnacentral:rRNA from 1 species